AUGACGUUGGCGGAACGAGGAUUGAUGAAAACCAAAGGCAGAUUUGGAAGCGUGGCAUCAAGACAAAGAGGACAAAGGGAUAAUUUCGAAGAAUGGAAGCUUCACCAUUCUAGGCGCAACAUCGUACUUCCGGCGGUGGUUCUUUGCUUCAAUCGGAUAAAAAGCUCUUUCACAAAACCUAAUCCUUUCAAUUUUGUUUGUUACUCCUAUUUUGUUUUUUUAUAUUUUUAUUUGUUGUAUUUUGUUUAUAAUUUAAUAAUAAAUAUUAGUUGCUGA